rfam:Camelus ferus unplaced genomic scaffold scaffold1133, whole genome shotgun sequence.
GCGGUUAUAGCCCAGUGGUACAGCACGUGCUUGGAAUGCACAAGGUCCUGGAUUCAAUCCCCAGUACCUCG